rnacentral:rRNA from 1 species
AUUGAACGCUGGCGGCAGGCUUAACACAUGCAAGUCGAGCGGGGUGAUGGUGCUUGCACUAUCACUUAGCGGCGGACGGGUGAGUAAUGCUUAGGAAUCUGCCUAUUAGUAGGGGACAACAUCUAGAAAGGGAUGCUAAUACCGCAUACGUCCUACGGGAGAAAGCAGGGGAUCACUUGUGACCUUGCGCUAAUAGAUGAGCCUAAGUCGGAUUAGCUAGUUGGUGGGGUAAAGGCCUACCAAGGCGACGAUCUGUAGCGGGUCUGAGAGGAUGAUCCGCCACACUGGGACUGAGACACGGCCCAGACUCCUACGGGAGGCAGCAGUGGGGAAUAUUGGACAAUGGGGGGAACCCUGAUCCAGCCAUGCCGCGUGUGUGAAGAAGGCCUUAUGGUUGUAAAGCACUUUAAGCGAGGAGGAGGCUCUUUUGGUUAAUACCCAAGAUGAGUGGACGUUACUCGCAGAAUAAGCACCGGCUAACUCUGUGCCAGCCGCCGCAGUAA